UUAUUAAGGAGACUGGUGACUAUCAAGGAGAAUGGUGAUUUUAUUAAGGAGACUGGUGACUAUUAAGGAGAAUGGUGACUUUAUUAAGGAGACUGGUGACUAUCAAGGAGAAUGGUGACUUUAUUAAGGAGACCGGUGACUAUUAAGGAGACUGGUGACUAUUAAGGAGACCGGUGACUAUUAAGGAGACUGGUGACUCUAUUAAGGAGACCUAUGGCUUUAUUAAGGAGACUGGUGACUAUUAAGGAGACUGGUGACUCUAUUAAGGAGACAGGUGACUUUAUUAAGGAGACCAGUGAUUUUAUUAAGGACUGGUAACUUUAUUAAGGAGACUGGUGACUAUUAAGAAGACCGGUGACUUUAUUAAGGAGACUGGUGAUUUUAUUAAGGAGACCGGUGACAUUAUUAAGGAGAAUGGUGACUAUAUUAAGGAGACCUAUGACUAUUUAAAAGGUAUUCAAUGUAUAAUAACCAUAUUUCAUAUCUAAUAAAUGGAUGGUGGAAUUUUUGUAAUCAUGGUAUCAGUUUGAAGGGUUCAUCAAAUAAAAAUAAUCCACCAUAGGAAUUUUAAAAAUUUUGUUUACUGCUUGAUUUAUUUCACCUAGAAUUUAACAUUGAAGUAUAUGGGAAAAGCAUUUUUUAUUACAAUAUUUUAAAAAGAAAUUAUAUUUUCAUACAAAUUUCUUGGUAGAAAGUUACAUACACUUUCUCUUAAUGAAAAUAUGAAAUAAAAUUAAUCAUUGACCACACACAUUUUUAGAAAAUUAGAUUUUUCUUAUUUUUUACAAAGGGCAGACAACUCUUCCAAAAAGUCUUAAGUGCUAAAAUGUCAGCUUCUAAUCAUUUACCAGUCAUGUGAAUUUCAUCUGCUUCACUUUCAUCAUUAUUUAACAAUGAACAUUUAUGUUGAUCUAAAUCCUUCAAAAUUGUUCAUUAUCCUUUCAUUAUACAUGGAAUACCUUAAGGAGACCGGUGACUUUAUUUAAGAGACUGUAGGCAUUAGUGACACUGUUAUGGAUUAUUAAGGAGGUUGGAGAUUUAUUGACACUUUACGAUGGACUGUCAAUGAGAUUGGGAUUUUAUUGGCCUUUUCUGCUGUUUAAACUGCACAUAGAGGCUCUGAUUUACCCUGGAGAUCUGCUCUGUGAAUAUCUGCUGUGGAAUAUUACUGGAUCCCCGGAUGAUUGUGUUGACACUGGCCAGGUCCACAAGACUCAGUGGGGUGGUGAUAUAGAUGACCUUCUUCACGACGUCAAUCGCUCGAACCAUGCCUACGCAGUAAACAGAUCUAUACUUAACAUACUGGUUAUUUUUCAGCAUUAAAUCUACAAUCAAUGUUAAUAUGUAUAUUUCAAAACUGUUUCAUUUCUGUGUACGUUGUAUCAAUAUUUCUGUAACGAGCCUAACAAAUCCUAUUUCUGUAACAAACCUACCAAAUCCUGUGUAUGUUGUAUCAAUAUUUCUGUAACAAGCCUACCAAUUCAUAUGCAUAUUGUAUCAAUAUUUCUGUAACAAACCUACCAAAUCCUAUGAAUGUUGUAUCAAUAUUUCUGUAACAAGCCUACCAAUUCAUAUGCAUAUUGUAUCAAUAUUUCUGUAACAAGCCUACCAAUUCAUAUGCAUAUUGUAUCAAUAUUUCUGUAACAAGCCUACCAAAUCCUAUUUCUGUAACAAGCCUACCAAAUCCUAUGUAUGUUGUAUCAAUAUUUCUGUAACAAGCCUACCAAAUCCUGUGUAUGUUGUAUCAAUAUUUCUGUAACAAGCCUACCAAAUCCUGUGUAUAUUGUAUCAAUAUUUCUGUAACAAGCCUACCAAAUCCAAUGCAAGGGCACACAGGUGUCGAAUCCAAAAUAUAUGGCUCAUCAUUGCUGUGUCUUCUUGCCUGGAAAAUAUGGCAACUUUUCAGAUUCUACAAAGUUUCAUUUUGUUGUCCUUUUUGUGUACCAAUCCUAUUUGCUUGUAUUACAUGUAUUGAAAAAUAAAAACAAAGUACCACUGGAAGCAAUUGGGAUAAUUUUGAACAUUAACGUACGAUGAACUCUGUUUACAAAGAAAUGUCGGGAUCAUGAGAAAUAAUCUGUCAUUUGUUGUAUCAGUAAUUACCAAUGAUUGUAGGAUCAGAAGACCACAGACAUAUAUACUGAUAGAGGAAAACAUUUUGUAAUGCUAAAUCUUAAAUCAUGUUAUGCACAUUGAAAAAACACAGAUUUGUUAUCAACAGUGAUAAUUGAGUUAUUCAAAACUAAAUCGUAAUAAAUGUUCAAAAUA